GGACACAUGAACAUCGACAUUUCGAACGCACAUUGCGGUCCUCGGAUACUGUUCCCGGACCACUCCUGGCUGAGGGUCGUAU
rnacentral:rRNA from 1 species